CAGCGGCCUGAGGCUACCUGCACUUAGUGGGACGCCCCACACCUCUGCCACUCCAAAUUUCCCACCGCGCCCCACCUGUCUGCGUCCUAAUCUCUGCCCCGCCCCUUCCUCCGCGGCCAGCUUCCGCAUUGCCCGCGCAACUCCGAGACUAAGCGGCGUGACGGAAACUACAAUCCGGCACAGAAGAAAGGCCCAAGGAACCAGCCUCCUUGAAGCCCCAACUCUGAGCGCUUUCCGGGCAGCUCUUGACUCGAACUCCACUGCGAUCCCCCACUGAUGGCAGCCAUGAUAGUUACAUCCGGGUAUUUCGUGGAGUCGCGACCAGAGUCUCCCGGAAGUGACGCGAACGCGGAGGGAUUUGCGUUCGGUGAAGUGAAGAGGCUCCGGAAGCUGGUCCCGUAGAGACGCUGGCGGUGGAGUGGUAGGGUUGGGUGUUUUGUUUACCAUCACCUACUUGUAACGGGUGUUACGUGUUAUGUAGUGUGCCCAACACCCGCUUUCCCGUGCCUUUUAAAUCCUUUCUUUACAACAGGUCCAGGAGGAAGACAUGAUAUUGUUUCCAUUAUGGGAAAAUUGAGGCCAGGAGAGGGCGAGUGAUUUGUCUUAAUGCAUCUCGUCUUGGAGCUGACCUGAUCCCCCAGUUUGUGGAGCCAGUGCUUUAAAUUUCCUCCGUAAUGCUUCCAUUUAGAAAAACCCCCAACCCCCUGGUGCUUGCAGCUGGAAGGCCACUUCUGCAGGGGCGUUCACCUUCAGCUCAGCGUUGUUGCCCAUGGUGUAGGGCCAAGCCACAGCCACCGUGGUCUCUGCGGUGGACAGAGAUCCGAACCGUGUGCCACGGUCACCAUCGUUAACCGGGUGUCUUGCGAUUUCUCUUGGUCUCCUGCCCCUUGACUCUGCACAUGGAGGAUUCUUGCUGCCCUCGACCCCCGGUUAACUGAGGGAACUGGCCCUGACCGUGGGCGCUGGGAAACAUUUUAACUCCUGUCAGGCACUUGUAAAGUCAAGACUGCUCAAACGGCUCGAGGCCUGUCAUUAUUGGCAAAUAGCCUCUGGCGGUAAUAAAAGCCUGACAACGAUUAUCUUGGACUUUCCACCAAAUCAGUUGUGUCUCCUGGCUUCUGUUCCUUUAGAAUAUAAGAACAAAUACUUCUACCUUAAUGUCACCGUUAACUAUAACCAGCCAUCAAAUAAUGAAGUGUGAAUACCCACUUUGGUCAUUUUUUUUUCCUUUUUCUUUUUUUCGCAGAGGCCAUCAGGUGGGGAAAUAGCCACACCAGCACCUCCCCAGAACAGAACCUCUCAGAUCCCUAGGUGUCAGAGGUCCUAGGGGCACAGGACCUCAGGGGAGGUCAGAGCCCAUGGCUAGAUAUCAUGGGGGCGAGGUAAUAUUUUUGUAAAAAUAAAUUAUGCAUAGAAAAAAUACAUCAGAAUUAAGAAUGAUAAUAUUUGAAGAGUGGCCGUUUAAUUAUUUUAUUUCUUCUCUCUACUAUUUAUUUUCCAUAUCUGCUACAGUUCUUUUUAAUAUAGGGAAAUAAAUUGACCGCAGUAAACCUUUCUUAGUUGCCUGCUUAAUUAUAAUGAAGACAAAGGCAUGUUGUCACAUUUUGACAAAUGACCGACUUUGAUACAAACUACAGAAAGGAAUUCUUUUCCUUGGCAAAGCGUUGUUUCUUGUUGUUGUUGUUUUUUUGUCAGGAUAUUAUCAAAAUACAAAUUUGGUACAGGUGUUUUUCCCACACCUUUGUAUAAAAAAAUUCCAAUCAGAAGUUUUACUUCUCAAAAAACAGAGGAGAGAGGGAUGUGAGACACUUGACAUUCUGGAGAACAAGUAUAAAAAGCUACUUUUAUUCUGCCUUCUUUGCGGUAGCUUUAAACAACUUACCAGGUUCAGAUAAAAGCAAAAUAACCACUCCUCUUUUCUAUUUCUGUAGUCUGCUCCCACUGUUGCCUUUUAGCAACUAUCAAGCAGUGGCACUACAAGAAAUACAGUGAAAAGACAGAAGAGAAAAAUGAGAAGGGAUUGGGAAGGAAGAACAUGUAAAUAAUGGAAAAUGCUGAUAUUGGGGUUGAGGUUGCUUUGAAAUUCUAAGGUAGCAUGUAACAACCCUUUCACCCAAGUCCCUACGAGACCAGUUGCCCACUCAGACAGAUUUGCAUAUAUAAUGUUCCCACUCACACAUUGAGCACCCACUAUGAUCAUCCUUAACAAAAUUUCAGCUUUAUACUUAUACAAAUUAGACAUAUAUUUUGACAAAACCUAGAGUGGCUUGAAUAACAACAACAACUGUAAAGUAAAAUCUCAUCGUUUUCCCUAGUAUUCCCUCUUACCAUAUCAUUCAAUCAUCCUAUGAUUAGUAGCAUAAGUGGAUAUCGAACGGGAAGUGUUGCAUGCUACAUUAUAAUAAAACAGCUAUGAAACUCCAAGUGAGGUCCUGACAAGAUACAUGUUUUCAAAGGAAAUAUCUUCAUGUUAGUCUGGGCCUUCUAAAAAGCAGUUGUUAGGGUGACAUUAAAUGUGCAAGAAUUUUAUUAUAGGAAACACUUAUGAGAGAAUGAGGAGGGAGCCAGGAAGAGCCAUCAGAUAGAUGGAAGUUAAAAGCAGUGAAAGAGAUGCGGAGAGGUUGGUGGAAUUGUCCUAGGCUGAUGUACAGUCUAAGGAGGAUUUGGCAAGACUACUGAGAAUGCUCAAGCCAAAAUUGCCAUGACCAGGAAUCCUCCUAGGAAGGAGCUUGCCUUAUGAUCUGUGCUGCACUCAGUCACUGGCCGGAUCAGCCCAUGGAAAGCUUGAUCUUUGGUGCAAAUGUGGAAGAUUGCAGAGUAUGGCAGCUCCUGGGGCCCUUGGGCAGUUUUGCUCCCUAUAGUUGGUAACCGCAGUCCCUAAAUGGGCUUUUUCAAUUAUUGGCGCUUUUCACCAGUUUCAAGGCUUAGAAGAAGAUUAUAAAAGAGGCGAUUUCAUGAGGAGGAUUUUACAUUGUUGUUAGGCUUCCUCAUGCCCCUUCAAGUCUACUGAGUGGGACUUCAGUGGCACUACUCAGGGGGCUUGAUAUGUGUCCCUUGAGUUUUCAGAAGUACAGUAGUGCCUGACUCACAUCUGAGAAAUCCCAGGGUAGGGAGAAUGGGCCAGUAAGAAGUUUGGGCAGAGGAGUAAAGGAGAGUUGCUAGGUUGGAAUCAGCUGUGACUUCCAUAGUUUGUCCAGGCAAAUGAUGUUUGAGUGUUUCUUGUGCACCAAAUAUGUACCACAUGAGAGAGAGAGCUGGCCUGGCGCUCUUUUGACUCUCGCCUAAAAGGACUUCCUGGAAGGGAAAUGGGACUUCCAACAGAGGGCGCAUGUGGUGUGGAUUAUCAGAAAAUCGGGAGCUACGGAAGGAGCAGUAACUGGGGAAAUAGAAUGUGUUGCCUAUCUGGGAUGACCAGCUUGCUCAAAUUUGCUUGAAACUCUCCCUGUUUUAGUACCAAAAGUCCCGAGUCUCAGGAAUCCCUCAGUCCCAGACCACUCAGGAUGGUUGGACAUUCUGCCUGUCACAGGAGUUACAGUCAGAAGGCACUCCAGCAGAGAACCUCCAAAAUCCACCAAGUCACCCAUGAGAAUAAGAGUCAAGUCAAAAUAUCAAGUAGGCUCAGACUAUGUGAAGCCAGUUUAUGAUUAUGUCAGUAUUAAAGUGGAUUUUGUCAGGGCAUAAUUGGAAAAUGUGCUGGAGCAGGACCUUCUUUUCCACACCAUCCUUUAGGAGUGUGUAUAGUGUGCUCAGACUGCCAUAACAUUGUAUCACAGACUGGGUAGCUU